UACGUAGGGUGCAAGCGUUGUCCGGAAUUAUUGGGCGUAAAGAGCUCGUAGGUGGUUUGUCGCGUCUGCCGUGAAAGCCCGGGGCUUAACUCCCGGGUCUGCGGUGGAUACGGGCAGACUAGAGGCAGGUAGGGGAGAACGGAAUUCCGGUGUAGCGGUGAAAUGCGCAGAUAUCGGAGGAACACCGGUGGCGAGGCGGUUCUCUGGGCCUGUACUGACGCUGAGAGCGAAAGCGUGGGGAGCGAACAGGAUAGAACCCGUGGU
rnacentral:rRNA from 1 species